rnacentral:rRNA from 1 species
GAAUAUUGGACAAUGGGGGCAACCCUGAUCCAGCCAUGCCGCGUGUGUGAAGAAGGCCUUUUGGUUGUAAAGCCCUUUAAGCAGUGAAGAAGACUCCCUGGUUAAUACCCAUGGACGAUGACAUUAGCUGACGACUAGGCACCGGCUAACUCGGUGCCAGCAGCCGCGGUACUCCAGAGGGUGCAAGUGUUAAUCGGCAUUACUGGGCCUAAAGCGAGCGUAGGUUGCUUGAUAAGUCAGAUGUGAAAUCCCCGUGCUUAACCUGGGAACUGCAUCUGAUACUGUUAGGCUAGAAUAGGUGAGACGAAGGUAGAAUUCCAGGUGUAGCGGUGAAAUGCGUAGAGAUCUGGAGGAAUACCGAUGGCGAAGGCAGCCUUCUGGCAUCAUAUUGACACUGAGGUUCGAAAGCGUGGGUAGCAAA